GUGGGGAAUAUUGCGCAAUGGGCGAAAGCCUGACGCAGCGACGCCGCGUGAGGGAUGACGGCCUUCGGGUUGUAAACCUCUUUCAGCAGGGAAGAAGCGAAAGUGACGGUACCUGCAGAAGAAGCACCGGCUAACUACGUGCCAGCAGCCGCGGUAAUACGUAGGGUGCAAGCGUUGUCCGGAAUUAUUGGGCGUAAAGAGCUCGUAGGCGGUCUGUCGCGUCGGAUGUGAAAAUCCAGGGCUCAACCCUGGACCUGCAUUCGAUACGGGCAGACUAGAGUUCGGUAGGGGAGACUGGAAUUCCUGGUGUAGCGGUGAAAUGCGCAGAUAUCAGGAGGAACACCGGUGGCGAAGGCGGGUCUCUGGGCCGAAACUGACGCUGAGGAGCGAAAGCGUGGGGAGCGAACAGGAUUAGAUACCCGAGUAGUCC
rnacentral:rRNA from 1 species